CUAGGAGGUGUCUCUUCCAGGCCUCCACCUCUGUUCUACACCAGGAGCCCACUCCAUGCAUGGACCUGGCUUUGUGGCUCAGAAACGUGUGUGGUAUGAAAAUCCGGUGAAAUCAAGUAAAAUAGGAGGAAGGCAAGGUAAACCCAGCGCGGUGCCCUAGAUGCCCGCAGAGCAAGCUGAACUGUUGCCCUGCCAGGCCUGGAUGAGGGAGGAAACCUGCAGACGGGGGCACUGGAGGGGAGAGGGUUGACCGCGGCCGGUGAGUGCUCUCUGCUCUGAGAGUUUGAUUGAAUGAGAUUUUUGGUUUGGCUUCACUGGUUAUUGUAGUUUUUCCAUUAUUUUAUUGUGCAAAUUCCUAGUAGAGUCAGCAGAAUCGGGAGGCAAACUGAGCAGCUACUGUGAAGUGUGAAAAAUUACCCUCAACUAAUACAAUCACGCUAUUUGCUUAUGGGAUUAUGGCAUGGAAAUGAGGCCUCCAGGCUGGCAAUUUGGCAGCAGACUCCGGUCACCUUUCCGGGCAGCAGCCCUGGCCCAGGAGUUGUGGUUCUCCUGACUUCAGUGGCAGGAUGAGCUUUCCGGCUCCCGUGGGGCCGACGCCGAUCUUUUCUACGGCAUUGACAACACCAUUAAUUGUAUCACGGACAACACACCCCAGGGAGCUAGGCAGGGCACCUCCAGGGAGAAAAUACACUCAUCUCACAUUCACCCAGCAAAUAGUGACCCACCUCUCUCAAACACAAACACAGACCUUAAAUCCAAGCAGCCUGGGAAUAAGAAGUGAAACCUUUUGAGUGCUGUGUCACCCCACAGACUCUGGGAUUCAGGAGGCAGAGACCAAGCCUUGCUGCCUUUGUUUCCACAGCUGCAAUCAGGACGGCAUCCCUGAUCCAGUAAGGGCUUCUGCCCUGACUCCACAAGAUAAUCACCUGAGGGAUUCAAGAAACUCUAACGUCGAGGCCACAUGCCAAACCAGUGAAAUCCAAAUGUCACGUAGGGGCCUGGGUUCCAGCAUUCUUCCAAUGACUUCCAAGUGGCUUCAUGAACAGCCACUGCUGAGAACCACCAUCCUAACUAGAGGUCUGGCAAGGUCAUACCAGAGACACUGAAGACUCACAUCUUCAUUAGAAUUCAUGCCUGAAAGAUGGAAGCAAAGGCCCUGCACACGGAGUGAGUUUAUCUGUUGAACACGGAGGAUACCCAGAGAGUCAAGCAUCUCCUCAGCUCAGGAAGUGUUUAAAAAGUAAGUGGUGAGUUGGCAGAAGGGAUAAUGAAAUUUUAGAUAAAUGUUUGGAUGGAUGGAUGGAUAGAUGGAUGGAUGGAUAGAUGGGUGGAGAAAUGGGUAGAUCAAUGGAUCAUGAAUGGAGGAAUGGGUGGGUGAGUGGAUGGAUGGAGGGAUGGAUGGUGGAUGAAUGGAUGAGUGAAUAGAUAUGUGGUGUGUGGAUGGAUGGAUGGGGGAUGGAUGGAUAAUGGAUGGAUGGUGGAUGAGUGGGUGGAUGGAUAGAUUGGUUGGUGAGUAGGUGGAUGGUUAGAUGGUGGAUAGAUGAUGGAUAGAUGAGUACGUAUGUGGGUGGAUGAAUGGAUGGUGGAUGAAUGGAUGGAUGGGGAUGGAUGGAUGAAUGAUGGAUGGAUGGAUAAUGGAUGGUGGAUAAGUGGAUGGAUGGGAUGAGUACAUAUGUGGGUGGAUGCAUGGAUGGUGGAUGAAUGGAUGGAUAGAUGGGGAUGGAUGGAUGAAUAAUGGGGAAUGGAAAACACAUGACAGACAGAUUUUGUGCUGAAGACUGCGUAGAAUUGUGAGACAGCCUCCCUGACCUGUUGGAACUUAGAAAGAAGAUGGUUUACUGAGGCAGAGUGUGACUCAGCCCCAUAAGCUGGAUUGCGGAGGGAUGAGGAGAUACAGUGAUUGACACUUACUAAGCACUUCCUGUAGACAUGGCCGGGAGCAUCCCGCAGGAAUCUCCACAUUCUCCCCCUCAACGGCUCUCACAAAUUAGGUUGCCAGGAGGUGGCAGGGCUGGACCCAAACCCCACUGUCUCUGGCUGCAGGACAAGUGAUCCUCAUCAAACAGACAGCAAGGGCUCUGUGCCAGGCAGGUGCCAGCGACGCAGGGGGCCUGCUUGUGAAACAAACAGGUGGGCAGAUAGAUAGGUGGGCAGGUUGGCAGGUGGGCUGAGCUCCCCAACCCCCGACCAGCUGUUCUUCCAGGGCUUCACGGUGAUCGAGACAGAUCCCUUGAUGUUGGAAGGCCACAGCCUGGUGUGGAGGAGGUCACCCGAAUGGGACCUAGCCUGCUACAGGAUGCACGCCUCUGGACCUCGGUGUCCCCAGCACCUGGGAAGUGGCCACUAGCUGAACAGGUGUCCUGCCCGGGACGCUCUUCCCCAGUGCCCGCCUGCGGGACUCCAGCUCCUUGUUCCGGCUCCUGCUGCACUAGCUCCUGGCGACUGAGGCUUCUCCCGACCCCCUGUGCCACUAACUCCUCUGCUGUGGCGCUGCCUCGAGGAUUCACGAGAUGAGGCCCGUCAGGUGCUCAGCCCAAUGCUGGCCCCGACCGUGCUCCAUGCACCUCAGCUGCCGCUGGGUCUGCUGCUUUUAUCUGCACCUGCCCCUCCUUCUGUACAAUGUAUGGGCCUCUAUUCAUCUCUCCUACUUCCCCAUCUCCAGGGCAGCAGACUCCAGUGAGGACAGGUCUGCAGGGAGCUGCAUCCAAAGAAACAAACCUGAAAAUGCAGAUUGAAGAAGGAAUAACAUUUUUAUGUGAAGGUGACAUGAGCAGAAUAUCCUACGGAAUCUGAAUGAUCUCAGCAAGACCACAAAGGUAACUGUAUUUCUAAAUACUAACAAUGAACCAAUGGGAAAUUUAAUUAUCAAUAUUUACAGUAGCAUGAAAAAAGCAUGAAAUACUUAGGGAUAAUUUUUUGAAAUAGUGUAAGAUCUGUAUACUUAGAAUCAUAAAAUACUACUAAGAAAAAUAUGAAACGAAAGCCCUAAAUAAAUGGAAUGAUAGAGGAAAUUCGUGAAGUAGAAGAAACAAUAUUUUUAGCACAACAAUUCUGCCCGACAAGACUUAUACAAUCAAUGCCAUCCCAAUACAAAUCCCAGCAGGAUUUUUUUUUCUAAAUAGAAAUAUGUAAGUGAUUCUAACAUUUAUAGGACAACGCAAAGGAUCUAGAAUAAUGAGAAUAAUUUUGAAAAAGAACAAAUUGGAGGUUGAUGGUUGCAUAGGUAUAAAAUAGUCAAUACUCAUUACACUGUACUGAAAAGAAUUGCAUUUAUUGUAUUGAUAUCAUGUCUCAAUACAAUGAUUUUAAAAGGAAAAGCACUCCCUUCACUAUGUAGCUGUGAUAAUGGCCUGUUUGGGGAACAGCCCCUCUCUUUGUGCAUGUGACAUUUCCAAAGCUGAGACAGUCCCUGGGGAAGGGAAGGACCCAGUGAUUCCUCUCUGGUUUUCAUAUGAGAUUCUGCUGGCAUUAUUAGCAUAAAAUUCAAUGUUCUGGAUUAGGGAAUGGGGAAAUUAAUGCGAUUUGCAUUUCACAGAAAAAUUUCUGUGACAUGUGGCAGCGAUGAUAAUUCCCAUGCAGUCCGUGGGAGCAAGGGCAGCCUCAGGCAUGACAGAGUCUCAGGGACAGCACUUGCAGCUCCUCAGCCACCGGGCCGUGGUCCCCAAGAAGAGGCAGCUGCUGGGUUUGACGCUUGCUCAUUCCGAAAGUUGCGCCACACUUAAAGGUUCGUUUUGGAGUCGGGGGGAUUUCUGAAUCCAAGCAGGUGGAGACAUCUGGCCCAUCAGACAGGAUGGCCAGCAGCCGCCCCAGGGAAGGUGUCCCGGCCGUCAGCCCCUGCUGUAGCAGCCUCACUUUGCAGGACACCCAGAGGUUCCUGAGCAUGAGUCUGGAAAUCUCACGGAAAAGGCACACAUUUGGAAGCAGGUCCUGCGCACUGAUAGUGGGAUGCCUGAUUCAGCGGAGAGAGAAGAAGCCUUUGGCAACUGACCAACACGUGUGUCGAUUCAUUCAUUUGCUUAAGUCUUGAAAACACAUCAUAUGCCAGGCACUGUACAAGAUGCUUGGAAUGUAAUAGAAGGAAGGAAGGAAGGAAGGAAGGAAGGAAGGAAGGAAGGAAGGAAGGAAGGAAGGAAGGAAGGAAAUCCCUACCUUCAUUGAGCUAAUAUUCUAGCAGAAGACAAGCAAGACAAACAAGAAAUAAGUAAAUUAUCACGUGUAUAUUUGGGUAGGAAGCACAUGCUAAACCCGCUGGGCUGGAGGCUGCUCUGUCUACUGCCCACCUGGUGUUUCCCUUCCCCCUUCCUCCCCGCUGGAUGAACCUGGCUUUUGCCCUGCUCUGGAUGUGAGCCCUUUGCGGGGAGGGUCUCUAGGGCUCCAUCAGUGAAGGGGCUCAGGGAAUGUUUACCCUGCGUUGCUGGAGGAGGAAGCGAUGGGGGGGAUGGGGAUGGAGCAUCAGGUUCCAGAUCUCAGAGCACCCAGGACUGAGCUCUGGGUAUCCCUGCCAUGGAAGGCAGGAGGGAGGAAGUGAUGGGGGUGGAGCAUUAGGUUCCAGAUCUCAGAGCACCUGGGACUGAGCUCCAGGUGUCCCUGUCAUGGGGAGGCAGGAGGGACAGGGGCCUGACUUGUGCCCCAUGGCCGUGGUGGCACACACUGUCUCAGAUGCCUGGAGGCUCAUGUUAAUUUCCCCAGUGCCCUACAAGAACAGCCAUGUUCCUCAGUGAGACGAACAAGGUGGACCUGGGCAAAGCCAGGGACGAGACCACAGAAGCCCCGCGGCUGCUUCUCGGAGCCAGGGGAGGGGCCGGACCAG
rnacentral:lncRNA from 10 species